AAAAAAAAAAAAAAAAAAAUGUAGAUUGUUGGAGGAUAAAUUUUAUUAAAAUAUAUGUCUGUAAAAUAAAAUAAAGCAGAGAUGCAACCCCUCAAAAUAGCUUGCAGUAGCUUAUAACACUAGUUUUUAUCGCCAAGAAAUGUGGCGAGCAAGUGGAAAAUAAAAGUUACAAUUGACUAAGAAUUCAAAAAUCUGCAGCCUCAUUUCACAGAUAAUGACAUCACCACCAAAUCGGUCGACAAGGAACAUGGCCAUGGGAGGCAACUAAACAAAUAUCUACUACAAAGGCGGUUGAAAUAUGCAGUGUGGACAAAUCUUCCGUCGUACCUCUGUUCACCUCCACCACCACCUAGACCCGACCAGAGAAUCAUCAAGCAGCCAAAGGCUCCAACUCGACUAUGAGCGUCAAAACGCCAUUGGAGUGGAGAUUUUCGUGGAAGAAGAAGUUGAAACAACUCAAGAGCUAUAUAAGAAGUUAUCUCAGGAGACACUCCCCUCAGAAUUUACUCUUCUUAAAUCGCCAAAAUUAUCCCUAGUCAAGCUUGAAGCUACGAGGGCCAAGGGCCUUGAAAUAGAAGAUGACCAGUGCAAUUUCCUACUGUCUAACCCAAAAUCACAGGAGAAGAUUGAAUCUGUUACAGAAGUAAUCAACAUAGCUGCAUAUAUUGGAUCAAAGGAGGAAUUGAAGAACGAUGAGGCGUAUGAUGUCAUCAUGAGCCUCUUGCGUAGACGCUAUUAGAAUCUUCAGACUUGGAGCCAGCUCAAUUAUCAAAGCUGUCUUUUAUCACGGAGCAGAUGUUACUACUCUUCAAGAGACCCAAAGCUAGGAGAUACUCACCUGGUCUUCUCUCUGUUGUUCUCCUAUGGCAAAACGUGAGCACAGCCCUCUAUGGUCAAAUCUAUAGGUCGAAUGCUCUUACAAUUCUUAGUCCCAAGCAUCUCAGACCUCUGUCAAUUGUAGUUACGUAGAAACUGGAUUGCCUGUUUCAACGGUUAAAUAUCUCUGAAUAGCAGAGAACGCAAUGUUACUCUCAUGAUUAUUGAGGUGUACUCAGCAUAAAGUUUUGAGUUUGUGAGAGGCAAGUUCCUUUCUUGUAAGAACAAGGAAACUACCAAAACAGCUCUCACAUUCAUGAACAAGUCUGUUGGAUGAAAAUAUAUGGAUGUGGUUGCACUCAUCCCAGCGGCAAAAAUGACUGCAGAAUUUAUAUACAGUCAAUACACUCCCAUCAUGAAGACCCUUUAUCAAAUCGGGUUCAUUGUUGUUGCUGUAUCAGUUCACAACCACCCAGCCAACAGGACACUAAGCUUCUUUCAAUGUGAUGGGUGAGAACUUGGUUGUUGAACUCAAUGAUGGAAUUAAAACAAGAGAGCCGAAAGAGAGAAUCUAUUUAAAAAAAUAGCAACGGAAAUCAAGCACGAAAGAUUGCGAAAAUGCACUCUAAUUUAACAUUAACUGACUUAUAUUUACUAUGCAGUUUCAUAUGAUUUUUAUUUUUUAAUUCUUAGUUACUGUCUACUUGAAGUAUCAAUUUAUCUUUGUUAAUAAAAAAAAAAAAUGUUUAUAACUUAUUUCAUGGUUGUAAAUCAGGUAAAAGAAGAACUAGAGUUUAUAUUAAUGAAUGCACGGUAGGCCACAUUCUGAGUUGCGCAUUUUGAAGUCUGCCAUCCCUAUAGUAGAGACAUCCUUAAUAUAACAAUGGUCAAUAUUGUACAUAUUUGAUGAUAUCAAACGUGGGGCAAGCUAUUUACACACUGAUAUAUUAAAUAAGGUACAAAUUAAACAUGUGAAAUGCUAUUAAAAUAAGAGGAUUGAAAGGAAGGAGAUCAUCUUAAGAUCAAUACAUAAGAGUACGAAUUAUGUGUAUAUAAUUUUAAUUUGUUAAAAAUCAAUCAAUAAAGUUGUACUUGUGUAAAAAAAAAAUUAGUCAUACAUCAAUUAUGAUGAAUAAUUGAAUGGUCCAACCUAAUUGACAUCCACAUAAUAUGUUAUAGCAUUGACUUCUGAUGGAGAAACAUGUUUAAGUGUACGUAUGUGAAGCAUAGAGAUGAAUAAAAACCAAAAUCAUUUUA
rnacentral:lncRNA from 1 species